UUCUUGAAUGGCAAAAUUUGGAAAUAGACAUGCACACAUGGAGAGCAUUAUGUGACUAUGAAGGCAGGGAUCGUGGCGAUGUUCCUACCCGCCAAAGAACAUCAAAAAUUGCCAGCAAAUCACCAGAAGUCAGGGGGCGAAGCGAAUAGCAGAUUCUUUUCAGUAGCAACUGACUCUGCUAACACCUUGGUCUGGAACUUCUAGUGUGUAAAAGUGUGAGACAACACAUUUCUGUUGUUUAAGACACACAAUCUGUGGUACUUUGAUACAGCAGCCCUGACAAACUAAUACAUGGGGUGUCUCAUUGUAGUUUUAAUCAGUAACACCCAUUAUGAACUGAAAACGUCUGCUACUUUUAAGAGAAAGGAUUAUUUGAGGACACCAAGAGGUGACCAUCAGCAAGCCCAGGAGAGAGGCCUCAGAAGAAACCAGACCUGCUGAUUCCUUGAUCUUGAACUUCUAGCCUCCGGAACUAUCCAACUUGAAUGCUUCCUGAUUAAAUAUAUACAGGAGUGAUUUCAGAGGAAUUUAAGUUUUGGAUCAUUCUUUUGAGAAAGAAAGAAAAGUACCCUUUUAAAAGAGGUGGCUCUUGAACAACACAGGUUUGAACUGCAUCAUUCCACUUAUACACAGACUUUCUUCUGCCACUGCCACUCCUGAGACAACAUGACCAAUCUCUCCCCUUCCUCCUCCUCAGCGUACUUUCAACAUAAAGACGACGAGGAUAAAGGCAUUUAUGAUGAACUACUUCCACAUAAUGAAUAAUUGAACAAAGGAGAGAAUUGUGAGAGUGAGAAAAAGUGAGACAAAGAAGAAAAACUAUAAAUCAGCAAAAUACAGUGCCAAGAGCUCUGGACCACAAAUCAGAAGACCUGAGCCCUAAUUCCUUUCCAGUCAUUGGAUUUGUUCGUCGCUUGCCAAAAUAGCAGCGAACUCUCUGUCAAACUGCAACUCAUUUUAUCGGAGCAAAAACUGAACAAAGAACUGCUAUCAUUUCUGAGAAUUGAAAAGUACUUUCACAGUUUGUGCAUUACCAAUUCCACCUUUGCAAAUACCACUUCCCAGAGCUGAUGAGAACACCGAAGAACAGAGGCCAGUUGGAGUCAUGGAACCGUCGAGGUGCAGAAUCAGAAUUUGAACCCCAAUAACCUGUCCACAGAGUCAGCUCUCUUAACCUCCAUGCCAUCUCUUAGCCAAUUAACAUUUCUGAAAUUUUUCAUAACUGAAAAAUGAGGAUAAUAGCACCUUCCUUAUUGUCAGAGGCAGUGCAGCUUGUGUUACAACUCAAAAGAGUAAUACUCUGAAAAAAGAAAAAAAAAGAUGGCGCUGAAAAUAAACAUGUUCAGCAGCCAUUGUGAUUCAACUUACCCAGAUGUGCUUUUCAUGAGAUGGAGAAGGACGGAUGGAAAAGAAAAGCACACAAAUGUUAAUGGAUACAGUUCAAUCCAAAGAAAACCAUGGAAUAAAACAAGAGCAUUAUUUAAGAUGUGAGAAAGCUCAGGUAUGAGAAAGACAUGGUGCCAUUUUGUAUUUCAUCAUGACACACAUACUCACUGCGUCGAAAAGCAUAGUCAGGCUGAGGGUAGUUCUAAUAGUUGACCAAUAAGUCUAUGUCUUGAGUAUGAGCCACUCUGAAACAUGCAUGACCACAUUUUCCCAGCCUCGAGUACAUCCCAGGAGGAAAUCAAGAAAUCUUGGUAAAGGACAUUCUUUACCUCAGGCCACUUCCAUGCUAUUUUACCAGUAGAAACAAUAACUUAUUAAUUGGCACUUAGAUUUUUAUAUAGCUUUAUAAGCCUACUGCUAAGGCCCAAGAAAAAAGAACAGCAGACAUUAGAAUGGGCAGCAACUUGAAGUGAAGAAUGUCCUUCCUAGUUUGAGGAUCUGAAAAUCUAGAUUCUAUUUCUCAUACACAGUUUGGUCAAAAUUAUUAGCAGAUUCUGAUCUUCAAUUUCCUCAACACAAUCCCUGGCAAUAGAAAUGUGUAAAGUCCAUUCCAGAUCCAUAAUGUUAUUAUUCCAACCAAUGCUGUAAUAAUAAUUACUAUUUUGGUAAACAUAUAUGGCUAGUAAUCAGAACAUAAGAAAGUGUAAAAAUGUUCUAUUCCUCUUCUUCGGUGGCCAUAUUACUUCCUUCUCUAUUUGACUGGCAAAAUAAACAUCAAGUUUGUGUCUAUUGUGGCUCUUUCAGUGGUAGAAAUAUUUAAUUAUUUGAAUAGGUGUUUAUAAAUGUUGUUUUUGGGGAAACAUCCAUAAAUUAUAUUGGUUCACCAAUAUUACCAGAAAUCAUCACUAAAACGACAUUGAUACACAUAUAGCUUUUGAAGAACCCACUUGCUCCCUGGAUGUAGUAGAGGCAUUGAGAAAAUAUGGAAGUUAAAUAAUUCAACAAAAAUUCAUGAGAGUAUUGUUUUAAAAAUAUAUUACAAGCAUAAUAGCCUAAUUAUUAAAAAAUAAAAUUGUUACUACAACUCAUAAAACAUGUUCAAUAUAACAAAAUAGAAAGCAGAAAUUCCUAUGUCAGAAAUUAGGCAAGUUAGAGCAUCUUCUUUUUUAUCGCACAAUUAUUAUAAAGAAAAGAUUGAUGUGCAAUGGAACACCCUGCACAUGCCUCCUCUCAAGGCAUUCAUUCAGAGAAACCGUGUACUUUUUAUUAAAUCGGCACUUUGAAAAAAAUGCAUAUUUUU
rnacentral:lncRNA from 1 species